UACGGUGGGAGCAAGCGUUGUUCGGAUUUACUGGGCGUAAAGGGCGCGUAGGCGGCGUGACAAGUCACUUGUGAAAUCUCCGGGCUUAACCCGGAGCGGCCAAGUGAUACUGUCGUGCUAGAGUGCGGAAGGGGCUACUGGAAUUCUCGGUGUAGCGGUGAAAUGCGUAGAUAUCGCUUGGAACGCCGAAGGUGAAAACAGGCUGCUGGGGUUGCGCCGACGCUGAGACGCGAAAGCCAGGGGAGCAAACGGG
rnacentral:rRNA from 1 species